rnacentral:tRNA from 1 species
UCCCUGGUGGUCCAGUGACUAAAACACUGCACUCCCAAUGUAGGGGGCCCAGGUUCGAUUCCUGGUCCGGAAA